rnacentral:rRNA from 1 species
GGGGAAUCUUGGACAAUGGGCGCAAGCCUGAUCCAGCCAUGCCGCGUGAGUGAAGAAGGCCCUAGGGUUGUAAAGCUCUUUCGGCGGGGACGAUAAUGACGGUACCCGCAGAAGAAGCCCCGGCUAACUCCGUGCCAGCAGCCGCGGUAAUACGGAGGGGGCUAGCGUUGUUCGGAAUUACUGGGCGUAAAGCGCACGUAGGCGGACUGUUAAGUCGGGGGUGAAAUCCUGGGGCUCAACCUCAGAAUUGCCUCCGAUACUGGCAGUCUCGAGUGCGGGAGAGGUGAGUGGAAUUCCCAGUGUAGAGGUGAAAUUCGUAGAUAUUGGGAAGAACACCAGUGGCGAAGGCGGCUCACUGGCCCGUAACUGACGCUGAGGUGCGAAAGCGUGGGGAGCAAAC